GAUCAUGGCUCAGGAUGAACGCUGGCGGCGUGCUUAACACAUGCAAGUCGAGCGAAGCGCUUUGGAAAGAUUCUUCGGAUGAUUUCCUUUGUGACUGAGCGGGCGGACGGGUGAGUAACGCGUGGGUAACCUGCCUCAUACAGGGGGAUAACAGUUAGAAAUGACUGCUAAUACCGCAUAAGACCACGGUACCGCAUGGUACAGUGGUAAAAACUCCGGUGGUAUGAGAUGGACCCGCGU
rnacentral:rRNA from 1 species